CGCCAAUGGGCGCAAGCUGAAUGCAGCCAUGCCGCGUGUGUGAAGAAGGCCUUCGGGUUUUAAAGCAAUAUCAGUCAGGUGGAAAGGAUAGUAGUUAAUACGUGUUAGUUGUGACGUUACUGACAGAAGAAGCACCGGUUAAUUCCGAGCCAGCAGCCGCGGUAAUACGGAGGGUGCGAGCGUUAAUCGGAAUUACUGGGCGUAAAGCGUACGCAGGCGGUUUGUUAAGCGAGAUGUGAAAGCCCCGGGCUCAACCUGGGAACUGCAUUUCGAACUGGCAAACUAGAGUGUGAUAGAGGGUGGUAGAAUUUCAGGUGUAGCGGUGAAAUGCGUAGAGAUCUGAAGGAAUACCGAUGGCGAAGGCAGCCACCUGGGUCAACACUGACGCUCAUGUACGAAAGCGUGGGGAGCAAACAGGAUUAGAUACCCUGGUAGUCCACGCCGUAAACGAUGUCUACUAGAAGCUCGGAGCCUCGGCUCUGUUUUCAAAGCUAACGCAUUAAGUGAC
rnacentral:rRNA from 1 species